rnacentral:tRNA from 1 species
GCCGGGAUGACAGAGCGGCUUAUGUGACCGCCUGCAAAGCGGUUUACCCGGGUUCGAAUCCCGGUCCCGGCU